GUCGGAGUGCCUUGAGUUUUCAUCAGGGCCAGAAAGCCAGUGGCCGGACCUCAGUGUCACACAGUAUCAGACUUGGACCUUCGUGCUUAUCUCCAAAAUGAGGUUUCAAACCCUCAGUCAUAUUGGAAAAAAUUUGCCAACCCCUGAUCUGAACUAUCAAAAAGAAUAAGGAGUAUGAGGACUGGCCGUGCAUAUCUGAUCUCCCAGCACGAUGGAUUUGGCCAGGAGAAGGACCUUGAAGUUUGUGGACCUGACUGUGCUCCCCAGCAUCCCCAUUGCUUGCUUUGGGGAAUGGACAGCUCCUGCUCACAUAGGACUAGCAUGUGUCCAGUAUUGCAAAUGGGAGUGGAGAAAGAGGUCCUAGAAGGAUGGACUUGGUGUGCAAACUGGAGGACUUGGGUACAAAGUCUCUGGUAUAUCUAACCAAAGACUUUACAUAUGCAAGUGUGUAAUUUCUAUUAUUCUUGGAAAUAUAAAUAUAGAAUUUAUUUAUUCUUGAUAGCCCUUUGAUAUCCUGAGGCUUGUGAGAUUUGUUGAUUCUGUAAUCUGCCGUUCUUAAUAUUAAGCAUUUGGGAGUCUCCAAACAGCCUUUGUUUGUGCUAUAAUCUGACUCCAGUUUGAAUAUAAUUUAGAUAUAGUUUUUUGGUAUAGAAACUACUCUAUUUAACCUAAACCAAAUAAAAAAUAUGGGAAGUCUGUGAAUUGGUGCUGUUAAAAUUAAAUACAAAACGGAGACUGGACUUGAAAAUUUCCUGGCAGACAAAAACUUAUUGAGGCCAAUAAGCACAACUAACUCUAAGUUAUUUCUUGAACAUAAGUGAAAGUUAAUUAUGUUUUUUUCUUGUAAAUGCCUCUGAUAAUCAUAAAACAAACUUGUUAUCAUCCUAAAAUUGGUGUAGGAUAAUCACAUAACUAAUCCUCGGCCAUCUGGAAACCUCCAUUGUAAUAAGCAAUCAUUGUAAAGGUUAAAUUACUUCCUAUUUUUAUUUUAUAAGCCAUCCUGUAAUAUAAUGCCCCAGAGUUUCGUAUUAGUUUUAAAUUGGAAAGCUCCCAGUUUGUGAACUGUUCUUAUAUGCACAAUAAAGUCUUACUAAAAAUUA